CCCUUAGAUGUCCUGGGCCGCACGCGCGUUACACUGAUGCAUUCAACGAGCUUAUAACCUUGGCCGAGAGGCCUGGGCAAUCUUGUUAACGUGCAUCGUGAUAGGGAUAGAUUAUUGAAAUUAUUAAUCUUGAACGAGGAAUUCCUAGUAAACGCAGAUCAUCAAUCUGCAUUGAUUACGUCCCUGCCCUUUGUACACACCGCCCGUCGCACCUACCGAUUGGAUGGUCCGGUGAAGCCUCGGGAUUGUGGUUCUUGCCGCUUUAUUGUUGCGUGACCGCGAGAACUUGUCUAAACCUUAUCAUCUAGAGGAAGGUGAAGUCGUAACA
rnacentral:rRNA from 1 species